ACUCGGGACGGAAGUUUGAUAUAAUUCUAGUUAAGUUAUUUUCAUAAUGCCUUUAUUCUUUUUGUCAGUUUGUCCAUCUGUCUGUCUUCUCUCUCUCUCUCUCUCUCUCUCUCUCCUGUUAAUUACUUUUUCAAAUUCAACCUGCUAUCAGCAGAACUGCAUUUUAUUGGUAAAUCAAUGCAUAGAAAUCAGGGGAUGUCUUCUCUCCCCAGCAAGUGGGAUCUGAUAGUGGAUAUAUCAAGAUGAUGGUAAACUGCUGUACAGAAAGUUAAUGAACAGGGAGUUCUUGAGUACAUGUCCAAUACCUUUUUACAUUUCUUAGGGUGCAUGAUGAACAUGACUGACUCUUUAACUUCCCUUGAGGGUGAAGUUGUCAUCCAGACCCUCAUUGUUUUGUAAUAUGAUCAGGAUUUACUGACUUCCCUCCCUGUGCUUCUGUUUUGCACCAGUGUUGUUUGCUUAUCUCAGAAAAUUAAAUUUUGCAAUAUUUUUUUGAUAUUCUACAAUUUGCCUUGUAGGAUUUUCUUGGACUCGUUGAGAAAUUUUACUAUCUAUCUGGCAGAUAUGACAUUCAGUUGACUGUUGGUGAUGCAGUCAUGGUAGGUUUCCUUUUAUUCUUAAAUAUUUUUCUUACUUCUGUUUGUUUGUUCUAGUUUACAAUAUUAGAAUAAUACAAUUGUGUUUUUCUUCCUCAGGAGAACUCUUUCUUAAAGGUUAUUGGUCAUGUAGACCUAGACCUACCAGAACCACCUGAAAAGGCACCCCGUCCUCCCCUGCAGCCAGUUGAACUAUACUCAAGAUACGGCCCAAAGGCUGAGAUAACCCACAUCUUUAGGGCACCUGAAAAGCGUCCGCCUGAGGAGCUCUCCCUUGCUUUCUUGGGUCUUACACUUGUGCCAUUCAUUGGAUUCUUAAUUGGGGUGAGUUGCAUAUUAAUAUUUGUUAGAAAUUUAUGAACAUGUGAGAUAUGUUGUUAUCUUCUUUUGAAAAGCUUAUAAUAUGCCUAGACUGGAUUGACUUCUUGGUCACUGAAAUGGUUGGAUAUCCAUGCUGUGCACAGAGCUUUUGUACAAAUAAUAUGUUUUUAUCUUUUGUUCAGUGAAUUGGUUAGUCUUUUCUAGCUUGUUUAGGACACCAAGUACUGGAUUCAUCUUGGUACAUGUCUCCAUGCGCGCAAGUGAGCUUGUUACAACAUUAAAUUUCUGGUUGAAAUUAGGUUUUAGGUUUUUGGGAUCAGGAUCUGCUAGUGUAGUAACUUGUCAUAUGACCUCAGUGUGAAAGGCCUGGAGUCUGCACCUGGUUUAUAAUAGAAAAUGAAGGUACCUUUUUUGUGUUCUAUAAUUCACCCAAAUAGGGGAGAGUUAAGAGUUCAAAGUAUCCCGGAGCCCAUUAUUUGUGCCUGUUUUUUGUUGGCAUGUGAUGUGAACCAGUUCGCUCACAAGGUGGUAAUUAGUAACAUAUGUUAACAUGCUUUUUCUUUUGGCAGCUUUUACGUCUAGGGAUAAACCUGAAGAAUUUCCCUUCUUCACCUAUACCUGCUACAUUUGCCAUCCUGUUAAUUACUUUUUCAAAUUCAACCUGCUAUCAGCAGAACUGCAUUUUAUUGGUAAAUCAAUGCAUAGAAAUCAGGGGAUGUCUUCUCUCCCCAGCAAGUGGGAUCUGAUAGUGGAUAUAUCAAGAUGAUGGUAAACUGCUGUACAGAAAGUUAAUGAACAGGGAGUUCUUGAGUACAUGUCCAAUACCUUUUUACAUUUCUUAGGGUGCAUGAUGAACAUGACUGACUCUUUAACUUCCCUUGAGGGUGAAGUUGUCAUCCAGACCCUCAUUGUUUUGUAAUAUGAUCAGGAUUUACUGACUUCCCUCCCUGUGCUUCUGUUUUGCACCAGUGUUGUUUGCUUAUCUCAGAAAAUUAAAUUUUGCAAUAUUUUUUUGAUAUUCUACAAUUUGCCUUGUAGGAUUUUCUUGGACUCGUUGAGAAAUUUUACUAUCUAUCUGGCAGAUAUGACAUUCAGUUGACUGUUGGUGAUGCAGUCAUG
rnacentral:lncRNA from 1 species